UAGGGAAUCUUCCGCAAUGGACGCAAGUCUGACGGAGCAACGCCGCGUGAGUGAAGAAGGAUUUCGGUUCGUAAAACUCUGUUGUUAGAGAAGAACAGCGCAUAGAGUAACUGUUAUGCGUGUGACGGUAUCUAACCAGAAAGCCACGGCUAACUACGUGCCAGCAGCCGCGGUAAUACGUAGGUGGCAAGCGUUGUCCGGAUUUAUUGGGCGUAAAGCGAGCGCAGGCGGUCAAUUAAGUCUGAUGUGAAAGCCCCCGGCUCAACCGGGGAGGGUCAUUGGAAACUGGUUGGCUUGAGUGCAGAAGAGGAGGGUGGAAUUCCAUGUGUAGCGGUGAAAUGCGUAGAUAUAUGGAGGAACACCAGUGGCGAAGGCGACUCUCUGGUCUGUAACUGACGCUGAGGCUCGAAAGCGUGGGUAGCAAACAGG
rnacentral:rRNA from 1 species